UCACAAUUUUAGUGACUUAAAAACACAUUUAUUACCUCACAGUCUCUGAGGGUCAGAAGUUCCGGCAUACUCUCUAGCUGAUCCCUGGUUCAUGGUGUCAGUGGGCUGUGAGCCAGGCAGGGCUGCAGUCACAUUGGAGACUCAAAUGGGAAAGAUCUGCUUAUGAGGUCCUUACGGAGAGGAGAGUUCAUUUCCUUGUGGUUGUGAAUUGGAAGUUUCAGAUGGAGAUCACAAAUAGGCAGAGAGAGAGAGGAGGAAGAAGGCUCCCUGCCGAGCAGAAAUCCUGAUGCAGGGCUCGAUCCCACGACCCUGGGAUCAUGACCUGAGCUGAAGAUAGAGGCUUUAACCCACUGAGACACCCAGGUGCUCCACAUUUUAAUCACUUUAAAACCACUAAUGUUAUCUCAUGCUUAUUAAAUAAAACAAAAAAUGC
rnacentral:lncRNA from 1 species